rnacentral:rRNA from 1 species
GUCUAUUUGAAGAUAUAAAAAGUUUAACCUGCCCACUGAUAACUUAAAAUUGAAUGGCCGCGGUAUCUUGACCGUGCAAAGGUAGCAUAAUCGUUAGUUUUUUAAUUGGAAUCUUGUAUGAAUGGUUGGACAAAAGAAAGUCUGUCUUUGUAUCAUUAAUUGAAUUUAACUUUUAAGUGAAAAGGCUUAAAUAAAUUAAAGGGACGAUAAGACCCUAUAAAGCUUAAUAUUAAAAUUUUAUUUAGUUGAAUUUUUUGUUAUAAAAACUUAGUAAUUGAGUUUAUUUUAUUGGGGCGAUAAGAGUAAAAUGAUUAUUAACUGCUUAAUUUUUAAUACAUUUAUAGAUGAUUAAAUUUUUAGAUGAUCCUAGUUAGAGAUUAAAAGUUUAAGUUACUUUAGGGAUAACAGCGUUAUUUUUCUUAAGAGUACUUAUCGAAAGAAAAGUUUGCGACCUCGAUGUUGAAUUAAAAUAUCUUUAUAAUUGCAGCAGUUAUAAAAGUAGGUCUGUUCGACCUUUAAAAUUUUACAUGAUUUGAGUUCAAACCGGCGUGAG